UCCAUUCCCAGAAUAUCCUGAAGUGAGGUCUGCUCUGCCGUGGGUCAGGAAUGUCUCCAAAGGCCCCUACGUUAAGGGACUGAGAGGCAACAGCCUGCAGCUCUAGUACCAAGUGGCGUGUCUUGAAGAGAGGCUUGCUACUAAAGAAGGGAGGGUAGGCCAAUUUGGCCAAUGACUAGAGAGCUCUCCUCGGUUCUAUGGUAUCACAUGAGGGACACCUAAAACAGUGGUGCUGACACAGGCGUCACCCAAGCAGAACAAUACAGACAAGUGUGCAGUUGCCAGUGCCGAACUCCAGGCCCUGAAAGCUUUCUCUGCACAGCCGAGAAGGACCACAACAGUAUUCAAGAAGGCGGACCUCCCUCCUGGGAGGAGGUGGCAGUGAGAACAUCAGGAACCACAGCGCAGAGGAUUUCAUGGAAUUGUGACUAAUCGUUACCUUUAAAAUUAUAAAAAUUACACCUGCCUCCUGGAGACUCUGAAUAAGGUGUGAUCUGGACAAUAAGGCGUGAUAAUUGCAGGGAAAUGGACCCGGGAGGACAGGGAGCAGGGCGGCCUGACUGGACUCCUGCUGUCCGGCCCUGCCCCACCCCUCCGCGUGCAGACUGAGCUUGGACUGCGUCUGCUCAGGGCCACUGGGCCAGGCCUCAGGGCAGACUGAGGACGGAGCAGCCCCAGCGGCUGACUCCCUAGCUGCCCUUUGUCCGGUCAUCAGGACCGGCUCCUGCAGGUCAAGGACGACUCGCGCGGAGACUGAAGCUCCGUUCACCCCAGAGCGCUGCCUUGGUACCGCAGCAGACCUUGAAUCUUGUCUACCCGCUGCGAGGCCCGCCGGCUUCUUGGAAAGUGGAAUGACUGCCAGCUUUGCCCAUGUGCUUUUCCCUUCGAAACUCAUUUUAGCUGUACUCACCGGCCCUUGCCACAGCUUGUGAAAUAAAAUGAAGGCAGAGAUCACAACAGAGGUUUUUAUGAUGCUCCCAGCAUGCAGCAACCGUGAAGCCAGCCUCAGAGGAAAUGCAAAGUGCACCCGUGUGAUUGGGUUAAUGAGACUGCAUCAAAGCACCGCACACUUUCUCUAUUAACUGGACUCACAUGUGCCAUAGAUGAAGUAAACAAGACUUUAUUGGAGGUACCUAAAUAUUGGUAUAAAGUAUGUGAAUACCAUUGCUAUGUACUAUAAAAUUGCAAAGUGCACAUUCUUCUUAUUU